AGCGCGGCCUCCGCCGCCGGCCGGGCCGGGAGGAGCGGCGGGGCCGGGGGGGGCGGGGCCGCGAGCGGCACCGGCACCGGCAGCGGCAGCGGGAGCGGGAGCGGAGCCGGGCUGGGAGCGGGUCCGGCCGCUGCCGGGCUCGGCACAAGGGGAAGGCGGCGGCGGAGCUGGGCCGGGCUGGGAGACAGGCGUGCUCAGCCAGCUUUGGCUUCGGCGAGGAGUUCCCAGACGACGACGACGAGGACUCCCCGCCGAUACCCGGUGCCAGCUGGCAGCCCCAGACCAUGCCCUCGAACACGUCGCCGGAUGCCAAGUGCCCGAUCUGCCUGGAUAAGUUUGACAACGUGGCCUACCUGGACCGCUGCUUGCACAGGUUCUGUUUCCACUGCAUACAGGAGUGGUCGAAGAGCAAGGCAGAGUGCCCACUUUGCAAGCAGCCCUUCUUUUCCAUCUUCCAUACGGUGCGUGCUGAGGAUGACUUUGAGGAGUACGUGGUCAACCCGGUGGAGAGCGGCUCUUUUGCCAGCCAUGAUGGCCGCAGGUUUCGCUACCGAACCACCUUAACCAGGGAACGCCGCGAGUUGCCUUUCCUCCAAAGCGGUUCCGCCUCUCGACUGACGAUGUCCCCGCCGGAUAAUGGGAUUUUGUUCGAGGGCUUGUCCAGCCAGCCGGUGCAGCAGAGAGAUGAGGAGAUUCAGCAGAUGCUGAGGAGGCUGGCCUCGAGGAGGCAGGCCAGCGCGGAGGGCAGAUCCAUGCGGCAGAUCCAGGAGGAGGAGAUGAUCAACUUCCGCAGGGCCCUGUACCGCACCGGGAUGCGCGUCCGUAGCAUCCAGGACGGCGGCCGCUACCGAGACAUUUCAGCAGAGUUUUUCCGCCGCAACCCUGCCUGCCUUCACAGGCUGGUUCCCUGGCUGAGGCGAGAGCUUACAGUCUUGUUUGGUGGCCACGGGUCCCUGGUUAACAUCGUGCAGCAUAUCAUCAUGAGCAACCUGACCAUGUACGACCUGGAAAGCGACGCCUUUGCCGAUGAGUUGAGACCAUUUUUGCUGAACCGGACCGAACACUUCCUACAUGAGUUCAUCAGUUUUGCCCGAUGCCCUUUUAAUUUAGACGCGUACGAUCAGCAUGCCAAUUACGACUGCCCUGCGCCUUCAUAUGAUGAAGGAAGCCACUCGGACUCGACAAUCAUUACUAUAUCUCCAGAUGAGGCAGAUGCCCACGGACCAAACCGCAGUUCAUCCAUGACCAGUAUUGGCCAGGCCCCCUGGGAUGAUGAAACUCCAGGGCCUUCCUAUUCCAUUGCAGAGGACAUCCGUACAACCAUAGUUUCUCCUCUGGUGACAUCAGAAAGUUCUGAUGAAGACUCUGCUGCAAGGAGAAUCCUACAGCAGGCUCAGUUACAGCCAAAUGCUUACGCAAAUGACGGUGAUUCUUCUUCGGACAGUUGCGUUAUUGUUGGGUAUGUUAAGCCACUAGCUGAGAGGACACCAGAAGUGGUUGAGCUGUCCUCAGACUCCGAGGAGUCCAUCAGGGAGGAGAGAAGGGAGGAUAUGACACAACAGCAGCCAGUCCAGUGUCGCAGCUGGAGUGACAGUGAACAAAGCAGGAGCUUAUCACCACGCUUCCCCAUGUAUGAAGAGACUGUAGGCAGCUACAGGAGCUCCUUAUUCCCUGCAGCCGAGACAACAGAGUUGAAUGAGGAGAAAAACAAAGGUAAAGCAAAACGUCUGCCUCCACAGAACUUGAUCUGGAGCCCCUCUUUGGAGAGGGACACGACGUGCUCCCCUUUUAAUCACAGAUGGUCCAGAAAGACAAAGCCCAGGAGUCCUCAGGCUUUUUCACAGAACAGUCAAGACAGCCAUGGCCAUGGGUCUGAGAGGGAGCAUUACAGCAAACGCCACCCUAGAAAGAGGCGAUCAAGAAGCAGAGACAGCGGCAAACAUAGGAAUAAAAGGAGCAGGAGGAGGUCAAGAGCUCGUGCCAGGAGUGGCUCCCGAAGAAGCCGGAGUCGCUCCCCAAGAAGCCGUAGAGGCUCCCCUAGUCGUGAGAGCACUACGUCCAGGGAAUUAAGCAGAUCACGGUCGCUUAGCAGAGGCCGUCGCAGAAGGAGAUCAAGGAGCAGAGACAGGAGAUCAAGGAGUAGAGACAAUGGCAACUAUUACCUAAAAGACCAUUACCAAGGCAAGCACCACUGGGGUUACACUUUGUAUAGUCGAAAGAAAGGUGAAGAGGACUCCUACGGCAGGAAUGAUCCUCCAUCCAAUGCCCAAUGUUCAACACAGUCUGCUAAUCCGGAAUGCAGAAUCCAGUCCUUUACUGAAAGGCAAGAUCCGCACAGCCAGAAGGGACCUCACGAGCGACACUAUUACGAGCGAUGCAGAUCAAGGAGUCGAUCAAGCGAUAGGUCAAGGAGCCCACCUGCAGGGGCUGACAGAACAAAAAACGAAAAGCCCGGUGGGAAAAGGAAGUACAAAACUCGGCACUUGGAGAGGGCAGCACAGGGGAGCACAAGUCAAGAGAGAGAAAAUGACCACAGGAGAAAUUUCUCGACAUUCAACGACUUCUACGGAAAUGAAGAUAGUCUAUGA
rnacentral:lncRNA from 1 species